GGCCAUGUGGCGAAGUAGCUAACGCGGCGGUCUGCAAAACCGCUAUUCACGGGUGCAAUUCCCGUCAUGGCCUCAA
rnacentral:tRNA from 1 species